UUGAGUUCUUCUGCUGGUUUUGAAAUAAAAUUUCUUCAAUGCUUUCCUCUAGACUUUUUCUUGUGAAUACACAAGUGAAUUGCAUGAUAAUUUGUUGCAACUGUGAGAUUCAAGUUUUUUUUUUUGGAAUCCAAGCUGUCUGACAUGUUUUCUUAUAAUAUUUUGGUCAUAUCCUAUGUGGAGCAUCAAGUGCUCCAGUAUAAAGGGUCAUGAGUUGAUAGGAACUGGGAGAAUGAUAAAGAAAAAGGGAUUUUGAUGAGAGAAGGAAAUAGAUAAUUUAUUGCAGAAUAAUAGUCCAAUUCGAGAAGGACCCACUCUCUAAUUUCAAGUCUUUCGACGAUUGACAAAAUCAGAUGCAGAAAAGAAAAGUUACUGGUCUAUAUAUACUAGGUAUUAUUAUAACUAAAAACUAAGAAAUAUGUGCACAUUCCCACCGCUAUGGCAUCAGACUUCCACCAUCUCAACUAGUGCACUUUCCUUGUCAUCCGGGAGGAAUGGGUCCAGCUGAAACAAACAAUUGAAACUGAACUGAUCUUCAUCUCUAUCAAGUGCUUUGUUUUUCCUAUGAGAAUAGACACGUAGAGGAGGACAUGGAUCAAUACUUUCCCCCUGGUAAGACGACUUGUCCUCAAGUCAAAAGGAAGGGAACUGCCCAACAAGCAAGUCAUAAUAUUCCCAUGUUUCUUCUUCAACAGGAUGACCCACUUGCGAGACAAGGAGCUCCAAAGUAGGGACACCAGCCUCCUUAACCCAAGGAUGAGCCAACACAGAAGCAGGAAAGAGAUCAAUUUCCCAAUCAAAUGUGAUGGAUCUCAUCCAAAAGAGGGUCAGGAUAGGGUAUGUGUAUAUUAGCUUGGUUUCUAUUUGCUCUGCGUACCCUUUUAUUCUCUUUUUCUUUUGUCGUUUUGUGACAUGUAACCGUCACCCUGCUACCUGUGCUGUUAUUAUGCAGGACCGUACCUAUGAACGUACGGUUCUCCCUCCAUUGUCAGACGGCUAUUUAAUUCAUUUCGAUGUCUAUCUUAGCAUGAUCUCGAAUGUGUCGUGGGCUUAGCUAGGAGUGAGCUGUAUUCGGUUCAAACCAAAAAAAUCGACUGAAUCGAAUUAAUUUGAAAAUUCGGUUCGGUUUUUAAUUCAUUUUGAUUCGGUUCGAUUUUUAAUUUCAAAAAUUUUGAUUAUUUUGGUUCGGUUUGGUUUUGAUUAGAAAAAAAAUAAAAAAAAUAAAAAAACGAACCGAACCGAUUAAUGAUAAUAAUAUAUUAUUUUCAAUAAUAUAGAGAGAUUAGAUCAUAUUAAGGUUAAAAUAUUCCAAUUAAAUUUUAAAAUUCUAAAAAUAAAGUAUAAAAAAUAAAAAAUUUAUUAAAAAUUCAAACUGAUCAAACCAAUUUGAAUCAGACCAGUUCGGUUUGAUUCUCUAAACAAAAUCGGUUCGGUUCGAUUUUUAUAAAUAUCAAAAUUUUGAUUUUUGGUUUAUUCGGUUCAGUCUGGUUUUGAAUCGAACCGACCGAAUGCUCACUUCUAGGCUUAGUUGAUCGACCGAACCGGGUCUUUUUCUGUUGGGCUCAGGUCCUAUCCAGUUAGGCCCGUUGGUAUGAGUCUUGGGCCGACCUCCUGAGAAUGAAUCAAUACUUUGGGCUGUAGCAGGGGUCAAGCCUGGCUUUUCUGUCAUGAGCCUGACCGCGGUUUUGGUGUUCGAGGCCCACAGGUUAUCAAAAUGUGAUAGGCAAGGGAACUGGAGGUGUAGAAGGAAGUUGGUUACUAGCUGGAUGCAGCAAUGACACAUGAAAAAAUGAGGAUAUAGCUUUUUAAACUGUCUUUUAGCAAGGGACUUUUGCUGAUAAGGCUGAAUCUUCAGAAAGACCGAGUUUCCCACAUUAAAAGACAGCUCACGAUGCUUUGCAUCAGCUUGAGACUUCAUGCAGGUUUGCGCCUUCUACAAAUUAUGAUGAAGAAGCUUCAGUAUAUCAUCUCGGGUGAUUAAUUGGUGUUCAAGAUUUGCAAUCAAGGUCUCUCUCGAAACAUAAAGAUAAAGAGGUGGCGGUUCACAUCCAUAGACAAUGUUAAAUGGAGUUGUACCUGUCAAAGUAUGGAAACCUGUAUUAUAAGAAUAUUUUGCCCAAGGUAUAAAGGUGUUCCAUUUCGUUGGUUGUUCUUGAGCAAGCCAACGCAGGUAAGCUUCAAGAUAAUUGUUCACCACUUCUGUUUGACCAUCAGUUUGGGGAUGAUGGUGCUCAUUUUCAAUUGAGUUCUGCAUAACUGGAAGAGUUCUUGUCAAAAGUUGCUCAUAAAGAUAACAUCUCAAUUGGAAACUAUGGAGCGUGGUAUGCCGUGUAGAUGCACAAUAUCCCUGCAAAAAUGCUCAGCCACAAUUUUGGCUGUAAAAGGGUGAGCCAGUGGAAUAAAUUGUGCAUACUUGCUAAGGCGAUCCUCCACAACUAGAACUGUAUCAAAGUGGGAAGAGGGAGGAAGCCCGACGAUGAAAUCAAGGGAGAUAUCUUUCCAAACUCAAUUAGGAAUCGGCAACAGUUGGAGUAGACCUGCUGGAGAUAAAGCUUCAUACUUAUGUUGUUGGCACUGCAAGCAAUUCUGGACAUGGUGUCUAACGUCUUGUUUGAUAUUGGGCUAAAAUAAUUGCGUUGAAAGUCGUUUCAAAGUCUUCAAAUAUCCUCCAUGACCACUGAUUGGUGUGUUAUGGGAUUCAAAGAGUAUCUUCUUUUUCAAAGGUGCAUUGUCAGGAAUCACAAAUCGAUUUUUGUAGUAAAGCUUUUGACCGGCCACAGAAAAACAGGAAAAGAUGAAGGAUCACAAGAGCUUGCAUGAUGUCUCGAGUAUAAGGAUCGAUUUUAAGAGCCUCUUGCAAGUCUGUCAAGUCCGAGCUAAAAGGAAGGGCCAAUGCCAGGAAAUCAGCUAAAUGGGGUCUGUGAGAGAGAACAUCGGCACCUUUGUUCUCCUUCCCUGCCUUAUCAAUAAUUGAAAAAUCAUAAGGCAUCAAUUUCAUUAAUAAUCGUUGUUAUUCUGUGGUUGUAACUCGCUGGUCCAACAAAUAUUUCAGAGUGUAAUGACCUGUCUUGUUGAAGAAGUGCCUAUCCAAAAGAUAAUGCCUCCACUUUUGCAAAGCUAAUACCAAAGCAAGUAAUUCUCUGUCAUAUGCCGAUUUUAAUCUGUUUAGAGAAGGAGAAACUCUUACUAAAAUAUGCGAUAGGAUGCUCAAUUUGCAAUAGGAUAGCUCCCACUCCUUCGGAAGAUGCAUCGCACUCUAAUGCGAAUGGUUGCAAAAAAUCCGGUAGAUGCAAUAUUGGAACGGAGGUCAAAGCUUGCUUAAGCUAUUGAAAGUCUCCUCUGCUGCUGGGUUCCAAUGGAAUCCAUUCUUCUUGGUAAGUGUUAUAAGUUAUAGAAAGUAAAUAUGUUAAUAUAGGAAGUAAAUAUUGAUAGAUGGGUCAGUUGCUUAAUCUUAGGGAUUGUAUAAUCAUAGGCUUGAUUUUCCUUCCUGUUUAGUUACCGUCUCUCAUGUAUAAAUAGGUUGUAAUCUCUAUUGUGAUAUACAACAAAUAUUAUCUUUCUACAUGGUAUCAGAGCCUUUCUCGUAGAGAUUUUUUUUUCUCUUUUCUCUCUCGUAAAGUUUUAAAAUUUUUUUUGGAGACUUAGGGCUCCGUUCAUUUGGGUUAUCCAUAAAGGGUAACAUUUGGAUCUCACUAUCGCUGGAGUCGCCACACCGACCCCUUGUCAGAUUUGAGGUUUGUUUGCCGUUCAGGUGUUGGGUGGAGGUGUUUUAUUUGGUACUGUUCAUCGGCACUGUUCACGGUACUGUUCAUCGGCACUGUUCACGCCGGGUACUGUUUUCUGAUUCUGUGUUUCUUUUGUUGCUAUCAUUUUGGGUUGGUUGUCCUUAUGGCUGAAGUUAAAACCACCACCGUAACUGAUGUGAUUCCUAUGAUGACUAAAAUCACGGAACACAAAUUGAAUGGAUCUUCUGAUUAGGGAAUUUUGAUAUCUGCAGAUGAGUAUGCAUAAUUCAUCCAAUACCAGGCAUCUAUAAAAUCCUCUAAUUCCUCCUCUAUCACUGCAAUUGCGGAGUCAGGUAACUCUACUGCAUGUCUUGUGUCUUCAUCCUCCAAAUGGGUUAUUGAUUAUGGUGCUUCCGAUCAUAUGUCAGGUAAUUCUACCCUUCUGUCCAAUCUUGAGUCUCAUACAUCGCCUUCUUAUGUUACUCUUGCUAAUGGCACUAAAUCGUCUGUCAUGGGUUCUGGUCAUGUCAACUUAACCCCUUCUCUUUCUGUAUCAUCUGUGUUAUGUCUCCCUAAGUUCGCAUUUAAUUUGCUUUCCGUGAGUAAACUCACUCGUGCAUUGAAUUGUUGUGUCUCAUUCUUUCCUGAUCACUGUGUUUUUCAAGAUCUUUCGACGAAGCAGAUUAUUGGUAGAGGAAGUGAGUCAGAGGGUCUUUCCGUCUUGGAUCAGCAACUACCUCGAUCUCCUCGAUCUCUGGUAUGCUCCAUGCAUUUAACACCUUUUGAUGUUCAUUGUCGUUUAGGGCAUCCUUCUCUCUCGGUUUUGAAGAAGUUAUAUCCACAGUUUCAUUCUUUGUCUAUUCUAGAUUGUGCGUCUUGUCAAUUUGCCAAACAUCAUCGUUUACCUACACUGUCUCGAGUCAAUAAACAGGCUUCGUCUCCCUUUGAGUUAGUCCAUUCAGAUAUUUGGGGUCCUUGUCCUGUUGUGUCUAAGUCUGGCUUUAAGUAUUUUGUUACUUUUGUUGAUGAUUUCUCUCGUACUACUUGGUUAUUUUUAAUGAAGAGUCGUUCAGAAUUAUUUUCUAUUUUUUGUGCAUUUUAUGCUGAAAUCCAAACCCAAUUCAAUACUUCCAUCCGUAUAUUGCAAAGUGAUAAUGCUAAAGAGUAUCUCUCUGGGGAAUUUCAAUCUUAUUUGUUACAAAAAGAGAUUCUUCAUCAGUCCUCUUGUGUUGCCACUCCUUCACAAAAUGGAGUUGCUGAAAGAAAAAAUCAACAUCUUCUUGAAGUAGCCAGAGCCCUCUUAUUCCAAAUGAAGGUACCUAAAUGUUUUUGGGCUGAUGCUGUAUCCACUGCUUGUUUUUUGAUCAAUCGCACGCCUUCCUCCGUCCUUCAUGGUGAUAUCCCUUAUAACAUUUUAUUUCCCACUAAAUCUUUGUUUCCUAUUGAGCCACGUAUCUUUGGUUGUACUUGUUUUGUUCGUGAUGUUCGUCCACGGGUUACUAAAUUAGAUCCCAAAUCACUCAAAUGUGUCUUCCUUGGCUACUCUCGACGUUAGAAAGGGUAUCGUUGUUUUUCUCCUGAUCUGAAUCGGUAUCUUGUGUCUGCGGAUGUAACAUUCUUUGAGUUCACUCCGUUUUUUUCGCCAUCAUCUGUUUAUAACACCCAGGAGGAGGAAGAUGACCUCUUGUUAUAUACUGUUCGCUCUUUGUCUCCUCAGAUUACUCCUACACCUUUCGCUCAUGUGCCAGGUCGACCUCCCAUCUUUCAUGUGUAUUCCAGACGUUUAGAGGACUCUGACUCCGUUCCGCUACCCGCUUCUUCGUCGACCGAUCCUGCUCCUACUGAUUCUUCAUUGUCUGAUUUGGAUUUGCCCAUUGCUCUUCGCAAAGGUAAACGUACUUGCACUUAUCCUAUUUCAUCUUGUGUCUCUUAUGAUCAAUUAUCCUCCUCUUUUCGUUGUUUUGUCACUGCUUUAGAUUCUAUUUCAAUUCCCAAAACUGUUAUUGAGGCUUUGUCCCAUCCUGGUUGGCGUGCUGCAAUGGAAGAGGAAAUGAUGGCCCUUGACACUAAUGGUACUUGGGAGUUGAUGUCCUUGCCCUCAGGAAAGCGGGCUAUUGGGUGCAAAUGGGUGUUUGCAGUGAAAGUAAAUCCUGAUGGAUCUAUUGCUCGUCUCAAGGCCCGUUUAGUGGCCAAAGGUUAUGCACAAACUUAUGGAGUUGACUAUUCUGAUACAUUCUCCCCAGUUGCGAAGCUCGCAUCUGUCCGAUUGUUUAUUUCCUUGGCGGCUACUCAUGAUUGGCCUUUGCAUCAACUGGAUAUUAAAAAUGCUUUUCUUCAUGGUGAUCUUCAGGAGGAGGUUUAUAUUGAGCAACCACCUGGUUUUGUUGCUCAGGGGGAGUCAGGUAAGGUUUGUAGACUUCAAAAAUCGCUUUAUGGCUUGAAACAGAGUCCUCGGGCAUGGUUUGGCAGGUUUAGUGAGGUGGUCCAACAAUUUGGAAUGAAGAUGAGUAAGUGUGAUCACUCAGUGUUUUAUAGAAAUUCUGAUAGUGGAGUAAUUCUGCUUGUAGUAUAUGUGGAUGAUAUCAUUAUCACAGGAAGUGACAUUGCUGGCAUCACAUCCCUAAAAGAAUUUCUUAAAACACAGUUUCAUACAAAGGAUUUGGGUUCCUUGAAAUAUUUCUUGGGAAUCGAAGUUAUGCGGUGUAAGAAAGGCAUCUUCUUGUCUCAAAGAAAAUAUGUUCUUGAUUUGUUGGCAGAAACAGGAAAAUUGGGUGCUAAGCCUUGUAGUGCCCCAAUGACCCCUAACCUUCAACUUAUCACAGAAGACAGUGAGCUAUUUGCAGAUCCUGGAAGGUAUAAAAGAUUAGUUGGCAAGCUGAAUUAUUUGACGGUCACUCGUCCUGAUAUUGCAUAUUCAGUGAGUGUGGUAAGUCAGUUUAUGUCUUUUCCUACUGUUGCCCAGUGGGAUGCUCUGGGACAGAUUCUUUGUUACCUUAAAGGGGCCCCAGGGCGAGGCCUAUUCUAUGGUAACCAUGGGCACUCAAAUAUUGAAUGCUUUUGUGAUGCUGAUUGGGCAGGCUCGAAAGUUGAUAGGAGGUCAAUUACUAGGUAUUGUGUUUUUGUGGGAGGUAACUUGGUCUCAUGGAAAAGUAAGAAGCAAAAUGUGGUCUCCCGUUCUAGUGCUGAAUCUGAAUAUCGAGCUAUGGCACAAGCUGUUUGUGAAAUCUUGUGGGUACGUCAACUGUUGGAAGAAGUUGGGUUCAUAAAUUCAGUGCCUGCUAAGUUGUGGUGUGAUAAUCAAGCAGCUAUCCACAUUGCCUCCAAUCCAGUAUUUCACGAGAGGACUAAACACAUCGAGAUUGAUUGUCAUUUUGUUCGUGAAAAGGUCCAACAAAAGAUAAUAUCAACAGGACAUAUCCGAACUGGAGAACAAUUAGGAAAUAUUUUCACUAAAGCUCUAAAUGGGACUCGAGUUGAUUAUAUAUGUAACAAGUUGGGCAUGAUUAACAUUUAUGAUCCAACUUGAGGGGGAGUGUUAUAAGUUAUAGAAAGUAAAUAUGUUAAUAUAGGAAGUAAAUAUUGAUAGAUGGGUCAGUUGCAUAAUCUUAGGGAUUGUAUAAUCAUAGGCUUGAUUUUCCUUCCUGUUUAGUUACCGUCUCUCAUGUAUAAAUAGGUUGUAAUCUCUAUUGUGAUAUACAACAAAUAUUAUCUUUCUACAAUAAGAUUUGUGAGGGGACAUGCAAUCAACCCAUAAUUUUGGACAAACCGGCGAUAGUACCCUGUCAAGCUUAAAAACCGUCUUAAUUCCUUAAUAUUGGUGGGUGUCGGCCAUGACUGCACAACUUGAAUUUUAUCUUGAUCAAUUUGGACACCUUGGGCAGUCACCACGUGACCCAAAAAGUUAAUAUGAAAUUGGCCAAAGUUGCACUCGGACGCCUUGGCACAGAACUGGUUGUUGCUAAGAAGAUCCAAAGCCAUUUGAGGAUAAUGUGUGUUGCUCCAUAUCUUUGCUGUAAAUUAAAAUGUCAUAAAAAAGACAAGAAUAAAUUUUCGUAGAUAAGGUUGGAAAAAAUUAUUCAUAGUAGCUUGAAAAGUAGAUAGAGCUUUGGUAAGACUAAAGGGCAUGAUAAUAAAUUCAUAAUGCCUCGAGUGCAUUCUAAAGGCAGUUUUGGCUACAUCAUCGGGGUAACCCAUAUUUGGUGAUAGAAGAACGCAAGUUAAUCUUCGAAAAAACUGUGGCUCCAUGUAACUUAUCUAUUAACUCAUCAAUGUUAGAAUUAGAUAUUUAUUUGGUAUGGUAAUCUUGUUUAAGAAGCGAUAGUCGAUACACAUUUGCCAGGUAUUAUCCUUUAUCUUGACUAAAAGGACAGAGCUAGCAAAAGGACUAGAGCCUUAUCGAAUGAAGCCGUUAGCUAAUAGGUCGGAUACUUGCUUUUCGAUCUCCGUUUUCUGGGCAUAAGGGUAUGGAUAAAGGCGUAUAUUUGGAGGAUGAGCAUUGGGAAGAAGUGGAAUGGAAUGAAAGUGUGAACGAAAAGGUGGUAAGGUGUGUGGUUUUUGGAAUACGGUUUGGUAUUUGGUAAGUAUGGGUUGGAGAGGUGAGGGUAGAUUUCUUGGAUUCCCAGCAUCAACUGUUAAGCACUAUAAUGUAGCUGAGGUUUGUGUUUUUGGAGGCACACCUUGUAAUUUAUACUUUUGCCUACCAAUGGAAAAUAUGAGGAACAUCUCAUUCCAAUUGGCUUGCAUGAUAUUGAGGGAGGCCAACUACUGGAUACCCAAAACCAGAUCUGCACCACCGAUUGAAAAUGGGUAGUAGUCUUGUGUGAUUGUCAAUCUUGGUAGCUGUACUUCAACAUUGCGGCAAAUCCGAUUACAUCGAAUGAUGUUGCCGUUGCUAAUUUGAACUCUAGAGGGGGACACGAACUGCACCAUCAAACUUAGCUCUUCAAUAAUUGUAUCAACCACAAAGUUGUGGGUUGACCCACUGUCAACAAGAAUUAGGAUUUCCUUGGAGUUAAUAAUCCCCUUGAGCUUCAUGAUAGUGGCAUUAGUUUUGCGUAAUAUGGCAUGGAAACUAAUUACUCCCAAGUCAUGUUGUUGGGAGUUGUCGUCAUUGUCAAUUAAUUUUUCUUCUGGUACAACGUCUUGUUUUAUUAGCAACUUCUAGGAGUGAGAAAACUUUUGGUUUGCAUUGAUAUCCUGGGCCAUACUUCUCAUUGCACUUAAAGCAUAGUCCUCUAGCGAGGUUGGACUGCCUUUCAGUAUCCUAAUUUUGGGCCAUGUUGUUUGUAAUUGGAUGUUGAGAAUGUUGAAUCCCACAUCGGUUGUGGAAAGGGUAAUGUGCCCCUUAUACGAGCCAUAGGCAAUCCUCCCCCUUGAGCUAGCUUUUGGGGUGAGUUAGGCCUGACCCAAAUUUAACAUGGUAUCAGAGCCUCCCAUCCGAUGUUGGGCGCCCCAUAAAAUGUGCCACGCACCAGUUAAAAAAAUCUGGGCGUGAGGGAGUGUGUUGAAUCCCACAUCGGUUGUGGAAAAGGUAAUGUGCCCCUUAUACGAGCCAUAGGCAAUCCUCCCCCUUGAGCUAGCUUUUGAGGUGAGUCAAGCCUGGCCCAAAUUUAAUAGAGAAGAUGUCGCAAUUUGAGAGGAUGGUACCUGGCUUUCACAUGGAAGAGGUCGAGCUGAUUGAGUCACUAGGUUAGGCUUAGUUGAAUUGGUCCAAUUUAGCCCUUUACCCCGUCGUGUUGGGUCUAGUUUGGACUCAAAUUCCAGAGCUAGACUCAUGGCCUUGUAAACAGAGCGUGACUUGUGGAUGCAGACAUUUGCUGUCAGUUCCUCCUUUGACCCAUUGAGAAAAACACCUAGUAACACUGGUCCGGCCAAUUGGAUACUCAAGCCGAUUGUUUUGCAAAUUCUCGGCGGUGGACAGUACUAGUUUGCUUGACAUUGCAAAGGUACUCAUCAGAAUUUGGAAUUCAACUGGUCUGUAAUUCUCUUGUAGAGCUUGCACCAACUCAUCCCAAUAAAGAAUGACAUGUUCAGAGUUGAGCCUAGAGAUUUUACACCUUCAAGGUACAUUCUCGGCAAUGUGAACCUUGAAAUCUUCUGAAGUUUGAUAAUACUGAAAAUAUUUUUUGCCUUUGAGAACUCAGCCUCGUGAAUUGCCUCCUUUAAAUUUGGGAAAUUCGAUUUUGGUAUGGGGACAAUGAGAUGGGUUUCUUCUCCACCUCGGGUUGUUGGCAUCAUCGUCUUCUGCAUCAGACCGGUUGGCGUGUCUCAUGUCUCGAAGGCCGGAGUUGGCUUCUUUCCCCUUGCCUCUGUUGUCACUGGUUGGGUUUGAGGAAGGUUGAGGGUUGGUGUUGAAUUGAGCUUUCAAGGCAGCGACAUAGCUUUGAGGGCUUCCAUGGCUUCCAAUCGUGAAGCUAUGGCAGCAAGUUGGGUGGCUAUGGGGUCAAUGGUGUUGUUAGGCGAGGAUGGGCAAGUGUGGAUUAUGAGGGCUGGUUGGGUGUGGGGAGUAGGGGGGGUUGCAAGUUCCUUGUACCAUCUUUGAUUUCCAGCAAUGGAACCAAUGAUAGGAACAGGGAGGAUGAUAAAGUAAAAGGGAUUUUGAUGAAAGAAGGAAAUAGAUAAUUUAUUGCAGAAUAAUAGUCCAAUUUGAGGACCCACUCUCCAAUUUCAAGUCUUUGGACAAUUGACAAAAAUCAGAUGCAGAAAAGAAAAGUUACUGGUCUAUAUAUACCUGGUAUUAUUAUAACUAAAAACUAAGAAACAGAUGUACAUUCCCUCCACUAUGGCAUCAGACUUCCACUAUCUCAACUAGUCCACUUUCCUCGUCAUUUGGGAGGAAUGGGUCUAGCUGAAACAAACAAUUGAAACUGAAUUGAUCUUCAUAUCUAUCACGUGCUUUGUUUUCCUUCGAGAAUAGAUAAAUAGUGGAGGACAUGCAUCAUGAGUUACCGGUGAAUGGAAUGACAAGGAAAGGGAAAGGGGGAAACCUAAAAUAACAUGGAGGGAUUGGUAUCACAAAAUAUUGAUGCAGAAUUGGUUUCAAGAAAACUGAAUGGUGACAACUGACAACAGAUCCAUCAAGCGAACCCAAACUAGUUUGGAUUAAGGCUUAAACCUAAAAUAAAAUGGAGGGAAGUGGUUUUGUAAAAUAUUGAUGCAGAAUUGGUUUCAAGAAAACUGAACGGUGACAACAGAUUCAAAGAAUGAACCCAAACUUGUCUGGAUUAAGGCUUAGUUGUUAUUGUUGUUACUGUUGUAAUGUGUUUUCCUACUCUCUGACAGAUGCACACACUGCACUAAAUCUGUUUUUCCAUACAUUUCUUGAUGUUAAAAACUGCAGCUUACAUGGAAACAUUUUUCUCUGCAGACCCAGUCUUCCUACAGAUUUUGUAAGGUUAGAUCAAGACAUUUUGUCACCUCUUGCUGGAAAGAAGAUGCUGUAUACAUAUGAGACCAUGGACUUCUGGGAACAAAUAAAGACUCCUGGGUAGAGUAUUGUUUUAUUCACUCUUUUGGCUUAAAGAUUUAAACCUUGGCCCCUAUAUCUGCCUCAACUAAAUUUCUUGUUAAUGAUGCAGGAUGUCUUUGAAAUGUUCGGCUUUAUUUCUUUCCAUGUAUCAAUUUACCUCUCCUCAUCUUUUGGCCACUGGAGAUGGAACGAGGAGCGCUAGCAUUGUUGGUGAUGUUUAUAUCCAUCCAUCAGCAAAAGUGCAUCCAACUGCAAAGGUCUUCUGUUUUUACCCAACAUACAAUAGCAUAUCAAUAUAAUUUUAUAAAUGUAUGCAAAUGGUCAUGCCAUAUUUUGCUCUACUCUUGGCUUUCAGCUCCUAUAAUUUUAUCUGUAGCCUCCUAUCAAAAUUGUUCUCCCUUCUAAAGAUGUCCCAUGCUUUCCGUCUUGAUUGCCAUAUCUGGCCUCAUUUAUAUUCAGUGGCUUUGUAUAGCGUAUAUUCAUGCCUAGGAACUGGUCCACAGCCCCAAAGCCUUUGUAUUGUGUGCAGCAUAAUAACUUAUCUUUGCAGAACUGUUAUAAAGUCUCUUUUCACAGUUAUAUCUUUCUACCAUGGUUUUUAUUAAUUAUGUUUCUUCUGGCUAGUUAGCCUCUAUCGCUUUGGUCACUAAACUCUGAAAUUUAGAACAUCUAUUAUAUUGUAGUUUAUUUUGGGUUGGAAUUAAUAUUUUAUGGCAAGAAAUGUCCGUCAAUGUUUAGUGUCAUAGGAUGUUUGAAGUUUGUUUCUAAGAGACCAAUUCUAAGAAAGAAAUCACUUAAGUGAUCUUUUUUCAGCACCUUUCCGUUCUUUAUUCAUCUGUAUUUUUUUGUUUUCUUCUUGUUUUUUGGGCUACAGAUUGGCCCCAAUGUCUCUGUUUCAGCAAAUGUCCGAGUGGGAGCAGGAGUGAGGCUUAUAAGUUGCAUCAUUUUAGAUGAUGUUGAAAUUCAGGUGUGGAACUGAAUCCUGUAAUAAAAUCCAAACAAGAUUUUAUUUUAUUUUUUUUUUGGAAACUGCCAAAUGGCUGUAUUUUUUUUUCCCUGAUAGGAAAAUGCAGUCGUUAUGCAUUCUAUUAUUGGCUGGAAAUCAUCUCUAGGAAGAUGGUCAAGAGUCCAGGCAAGUCCAUUAAUGAGAUUAUGAAUUUCUUCUUUACUUUUAGUUUUCUUUACUAGUAAUUGAUGAAAUAAUAUGUAAUCUUGUAAAAAAUAAAUUUAGUUAAGUGCUAAAAACUUACUAAUAAAUCAGAAACUUGAUUCAGAAAAUCAGAAAUCACUUUCCUCCUCCUUUUCCCAAUUUUAUCCCGAAUUUGGAAUUCCUCCAAACUUUGGAGAAAAAUUAUGGAGAUGAGUAAUCUUAUCCGACAAACUCAACCCCUAGCAGCUACAUAAAGUAGAAUAUUUUAUUAUGGCUGACUACAGUUAAAUUAACUGUUCAGGCCAACGGCGACUACAACACGAAGCUUGGAAUAACAAUCCUAGGUACUUGUUCAUACUCUGUAAUUUGCAUCUGUUGUGGGAAUCUCCAGCGCUUUGGAACAAAUCUUAGUGUUGUUAUCUUGUGCAGGGGAAGCUGUGACAGUUGAAGAUGAAGUAGUUGUUACUAACUGUAUCGUUCUUCCAAAUAAGAUCAUUAGUGGUAGUGUGCAAGAGGAGAUCAUCUUAUAAAAAUGAAGAGAUUUCCCAAGUUGCAGCCCUUAAAUUUUUGGAUUUUUGUUAAUUUCCUUCAUGAAGUGGAGGUCUGCAGAGAUGGGGAGGGAACUCCUUUCUGCUUUGAGAGCAUAAUUUUACUUUUCUUGUUUGGUAUACAAGCAAUACAGAUUCUUUUAAUAACAUUUUUAUAUUUUAAGUUGAAAUUUGGGUCAAAUAAUAUUACUGAAGUAAAAUAUUUUAUUUUUUUACAAUUAAAAUUAAAUAAUAAAAAAUAAUUUAUUUUAUUAAAAAAAAUUUUUUAAUAAAAAUUCUAAUAUUUUUUUAUUCUAUAAUUUUUAUCCAUCUUUUAUUUUUUUUAAAUUAUUAUCAAUUUUUUUAAAUUAUAAUAAUAUAUAAAUUAACUAUUAUAAUUCUAUUUAAUUGAAUUUUAUUUUUAAAAAUUUUUUUUAAAACCUCUCACAUAAUUUUUAAUGAAAAAAAUAAAUAAAUUUUAAAUACAAAUUAUCUUUCAUAAACAAAUAACGUCUAAACUCCGAAAUUUCAUUUCAAUGGCCUGCAAAACAAGUUUGCUUAAAACGUUCAUAAACUUAAUAUAUUUAUUUAAAUAAAAUUAUUUAACUUUAAAUUUAUCAUCUCAAAUCUAAAACUCAUUUAUAAAUAUUAAAAUUUAUAAAUGAGUUAAGUUAUUUGUAAACUAUUUAAGACUUUUAAUUUAAUUGAAACGAGCUAAAUCAAACUGUUUAUAUUCAGCUCAAACUAUAUAUAUAGAAAAGAAAUUAAGAAAAAAGACUCGGACAAAUAAAACAAGAAAUUUUCAAAGCUCAACUAAUAGCUUCCUUUACUUCCCCCCUGCCAAACCCCAAUUCAAGAUGCUGGUGGUCUUCCACCGACAGACAACAGUCUUGCCCUUCAACAUUCAAUGUCAGCCCCCACCCCCACCGUGUCUUUGAAGUGGUCAGAUAUUGCAUGAGUUUGGCGUUAGACAGAUAAUUACUCCUGAAUUCUAAGCUUUGAGUUAUAUUGACAAAUGACAGUGGGCCAUCUGAAAAUCACUGCUUGCAAUUAACCCCACACUAUCAUCAUCCUCAGGUUGAAUAAGCAAGUUGACAUUUUCGGUUUACUGGCGCAGCCGCAACUCCAGCUUGUAUGCUUGUAUUUCCAUAGGAGAGAUUACUACAUGUCCGUCCUGGGAUACAUCUCCAACCUGCUCAGCAUAACCUAGCAUUUCCACAUCAUCGUGCAGAAGGUUUAAAGAAGUUGCUCUUGCAUUCAACACUUCAAGCCCCUUGAACAUUUUGAAAAGAUUUAAAGGCUCAUCUGCAAGAGUAGUGCACUGCGAUCUAGCCUUCCGACAAAACGAAGUAUCCCAAUGUCGCCUCUGUAAGAUUAAAACAAACCUAGAUUCAUCUGUCAGCAGCUGUGAAUAUUUUGCUGGCCUGGGAACUUUAAAAUUAACUAUGUGCAAGUCGCAUGGUAAUUGAGCAGCUAAAGGAGAAAAGUAUCUUGGGGGUGGCUGCACAGAUAAUUCUUGAGGGUCCUUUGCGAUAAAUGCAUGUAGAGGAUAGUUCAAAUGAGCUCCAACACAAUGCGAGAGAAGCGAAGGACUCAGGGGAAGAGGAUUGGAAACAGGAUCUGAAGUGGAGGAAAUGUUGGACUCAACAAGAAUGUGGAAGAUCACAUUCAUCGGACGGUUAUCCAUCACUCCUUGUCCAAGACCACGUCCAUCAUCCUUUACCAAACGGCGGUCAAGCAUAAUCUCCAACCAUCCAUCUUUAAGGCUAGCCACACCCAACGACUGUCUAGAAUGGACAGAAAAUCUCUGGCCAUUGGAUCCUUGCAAGAAAGCUAGAGAGGGCAUAGGAUAGUAAUUCCCCUGCAACGGGAUCUUACUAUAAGUUUCUCUCCUACUCAUCUGAAAGCCAUUUAAAUCAGAAUAGAAGAUCCUUUUAUUAUCAAGAUCAGUCUUGUAUCUAACUAUCAAUUCCCUGUCAUUAAAUUCCUUGCCUAGAAGCUCAACAUGAUAUUCUUUCUCAACGAUAAACUCUUGAAUAGUCCCAUCUCCACUGUAAAUUCUAGUACCAUGGGAGAUGGGUGUCCGCUCCCAUGCUGUUUUAGGAUAAACAAACACUUCCUGCAUUAGUAGGCCUUCGGAGAUCACCAUGUUCCCACCUGCCUCAACGAUAGGCUGAGCAUCACCGUCAGGUUUAAACAGGUAGGCCCCACUUUCUGGACUAGUGUACAUACCUAUUUCCUCAUCCACAACAAUCUUUGAACCAUUUUUUUGGCUAAUCCUGUGCAACAAACCAUGCUGGACAUCAAAGGUGAGAGUUUGAUGUUGAUUGUGGAUUUCAGCAAAGUCGCCUUCUACUUUAGAGCAAACAUAUGGACUGGGGCAAGAAAAAGAAUUUGACACUGAGUACUUUAAUUUUGCUGGUAUGGCUUUUUCACAUCCAGCAAGACCAUUGGCAAUAUAAUAUGUUUGCAACCCCAAGGCAGGAACAGAAGCUUUCCAGUGGACGCGAUGCCUCCCAGUAAAAAUCUUGCUCCUGUCAUGCUGCAGUUCAGGAGAAACUUGACUUUGAACACAAGUCCAGUUUGAGUCCAAAACAGUAACAUCUGGCCUGUUAACUACAACCAUCACCACCUCUUCUCUAGUUUGCUCCAAAGAAUUGAAAAGAAUAACCGAUUGCCAUGUCCCUUCAUGUGCACUAAUUGCCUUAUGCACAGGCUGAACAUCAUACUUGGAUCUCACUUGUCCUGCCUCAAACUGGGAUGGGUUAUGAUCAGAUUUUUCAUGGCGGAUACCAAGAAGAACUUCAAUAGCUUUAGACAUGAAAAACUGCAAGUCUUGCAACGAAGUAUGCAUCCGAAUUCCAUAAUCACGAACAACAUGAUCCUUGGCAGUACCAGUAACCCCGUCAUGGUGUUGAAAAAGUGCUAAAUUCCUCCUGGCAGCAGUCAACUUAUAGCCAAAUCCUGUGGCCAACUUUUCACAUUGUACUCGCUGACAAUAACCAAGUAACAAAGCCAUCAUCAUUUCAGUAGCACGAAGAGUUUGCUCUAGUACCCGAUCAACAGCCUUGAAGAAAGGCCUUGAAACAUAAUAGCCACUCCAGUAGUCUCGUUGCCUAUCAGCAUAAGUAAAGAAGUCACCAGACAGGGAUGGAAAACCUACAAUCUGAGCGGAGCCAACCUCGCCAGGAAGAGAAUAAUUUAUUCUAUCAGCCUCCUCACGAAGAGUUUGGAAGUAAUCUUCCAGAGUACCGAAUUUGGCCUCUGCAUUUAGACUAGGAUUAGAGUUGAUAUAAUCAAACAACUUCUGGUAAUUCCUAAACUGAGCCUCUGCUUCAGCAACACUGACAUAACGAAAAUCAUCUCCCAGAGGAAUAAGGAGAGUAUUAGUCCGGUAUAGUGUUGAUUUCUUCCUGUAUUGAUCUAGUAAUACUUGAGCCCUUUCAUGUACAUUUUCUGGGCUGGUCUCCACUGGAUGCUCUCCCCAUGGGCACAUCUCAUAAAAAAAGCCGUGUACUCGAGCAAAAUCAAACUGACAACAUAUAGCAGGCUCUGGCCCACAAGUAUGAGGGAUAUCAUAUGAAUAGAAGGGCAUCAUGUGCACAAAAAUAUCAGUCGUUUCCUCAGCAUCCCAACUUUGGCGCCAUGUGUACUCUAAAUUCUUUUUCAGAGCAAGUUCCUUCUUUACCUCAUAAUGAGUCCUCUGAAUAAGCAUGUUCUCGAAACCCAUACGGCGGAGAAGAUAUGCCAUGGUAGCUGAGUAGCCAAAUGGAUCUAUUGCCCAAGAAUUUUUAGGAACAACACCAAUGUUGUCGUUCAACCACAUAUUCCCCUCUGCAAUCUGACAAUGAAGUUCCAAGAAAACAUUGUUAUGCACCCAAAACACAUGAAUUCUAACCUGCUAACCAGCUCAUAAACGAAAUGCAAAAAUAUGCAUCACAGGUAAAAUUAAAUGAAUCAAGUCACUAAAAAAUAUGAGGGGAUUUUUUAUUAGUGGAUAACAUCAGAAGAUAUAUAACAUGCAAAAAGCCAAGUAAAAAGAGCAAAAAACUUAGCACAGUUUAAAAGAAAAUGCUGCACACUACAAGCUCAGCAAAAAAAGAAUAAAAAAAUAAAAUAAAAGAGUGGUGAAGGGAGAUGUUCAUGAGGAGCUCAGUUUAUCAUAUCUUACAUGUAAAAGAUUUAGUUUAGCAUCUAACAUUCCCACUUGUAAUCUUUUCCCUAAAAUUGCAGGUGACCUUCCAUGGACCUACUAGGCACAUUGCUGAACUAGAUAAAAUUCCUUAUUUAUUGUUAUUCUCCUUUCUACGUUUAUUAUUCUAAUCUCUGUGUGUAAGUGCUGCAUGGAUUAUCUUCCACAUGCCUAAGAUUACCAAAGAAAAUUAAUCACACAAAAUAACCCCAUUGAUGCUAUUUAAUGUUCAACAAGUUUAUAUCUGUUAAUGUUACUUGAAAAGCACAAGCCAAAUCUAUUAUGGAAUUGAAUUCACAUGUUAACUCCCAUGGUUCACUAUAAUCCUCUGAUUCAAUAGGACAAAGCUCCAAAUCUAAAAUGCAUCCUGCCACUGAUAAAGUUAGGACUAAACGACUUGAUUAAAGUAACCACCUAGUUCAUCCAAGUAAAGGGAGAGAUUCCAGAAUAUACCUGUUCAAUUAUGGCAAAGUAAUGUGAAUUGGCCUACAUCAAGAAAAGAACCAAAUAUUGGUCAUUAAAGAUCUCAAAUGCAUGAUUAGGUAAUAUUGGAAAAACAAUUUCAAAGAGUGAGUGGCAUAGAAAACUAUAACAUAAAUUUGAAUCAAGAUAUUGGAGUAUCAAGCUAUCCAUAGCCGUAGGAGCCAUAAACUACACAACCCCCAAGGGUGCGGGGAAAAUAAAAGAACCAAGUUAAAAAUGGACAAGUAAGUACUUUGGCAGAAAUAAAUAGAAAAGUGGUCUAUGCAAUUAUCAGCUUAUAAAAUACCUCAUCAUUCAUAACCCAACCACCUCCAACAAUUUCUAACUGGCCAUUCUUCACUAAACUGGCAAACGAUUCUCUUUUUUCAUCCGUUGCAUCUCUCCACCAUCUCUCCAGAUAAGACAUUUCCUCCCAUAUGAACUUCCGCCGAACAUCCUUAAAAAAAUAAAAUUACAUAAAAAGUUACAGUAGCUCAAAACAAUCUUCCAAAAUUUACUCCAAACACACUCAUUCCACACUUGUGUUAUUUUUCCAAUAAGGUGUCUAGACAAAAAAUGAAAUAUAAAACAACAAAAAUACUCAUUGAUCAUGCCCCUUAGACUACACAAAUUUCAAAUCUUUCCAAAAAAGAAAAUUCAAGGAGCUGAUAGAAUCCCAUUCCUUGAUUCUUGUUUUCGACUUAAAACAGAAGUGACAAACAAAUUUACAUGAUGCAAAAAGAUUGUAGAUUAACAUGAAAAAAUGUUAGAGCUGGCUACAAGGGAUGCUGAUAGGUAAGAACAGGAUGUAAGUCUGAAGACAGAACGUUGAAAAAGAAUGAGACAUGACCUGGAAGUUGUUGGGAAUCUAUACAUGCAAAGUUACAUUAUAUAUUAUAGACACAAAUAUCUUUAGUUUCUAACCAUAUUUUCAUCAAUAUUUUGAUCAAUCUAUAUUUUCAGAAGCAUGGUAUAUAGAGACACGUACACACACGCACACACCCAAAUUGACAUUAAACACCUUUCAACCAGUACAUAUUGCAGCUCACAGCUUAAAUGUCAGCAGCAAGAAUUUGGAAAUCACAAGUUCAAUGCACCAAGUGCAAAGUAAGCCAGCAGAAGAAGAUGUAUAAAUAGCCCAGAAAGAUAAGCAUCUAGCAACUACCGUCCAAAGUUAAUUUUGAGGAAAAAUAAAAAGAGAGAAAGAAAAAGAAAGCUUAUUAACAUAUAGAAGUUGCAUCUCAAUCUCAAGAAUCUGAGGUUGAAACCCUAGCAAAAUGGAACACAUAAAUUCCAAAGGAAAGCAGUGCAGAACCCUACAAGGAAUAUUGAAAGGUGCAACAAAAACAAAAGGAAGUGUCAAAAGAAAAAGGCAAGAAUUGCAUGGCUGCAAGCAGAUGAGAAAACAAUUAAAUAUGUUUGCCAGAUGCAAAUAGUUCAACAUAGAAAGCAAUGUAAAAUGUAAGUGAUAGAGAAAAGGAGUGGCUUUAGCCUACUUCAAGUUAUUUACAAAACAAGGUAAUUGACAGAUGAUGAGUUGAAUGAAUCCCGACAUGAAGCACCAAAAAUGCAGAUAAAGCAGGCUGAAUUCCAAAUCCACCCAUUAAAUAGUCCAGACCAAAGGUAUGGCACCUUUUUCCCAAAAAACUAAUCAAACACCACAAGCACAGUAAUCAGAUUUUUAAAAAAAAAUUAAAAAAAAAAAAAAAAACAUUAAUUGUCAAUGCCAUAUUUCUAGCAGAAAAAUUAAUGGCUCCAUUCUGUUGGCUUUAUUUUCCCUCUAAUAGGGAAAAAUAAAGAGUAGAAUAACUUGAUCAGAUAGAAUUUGCAGUUUGGUCUUCAGCAAGCACUAAGAGCAUCUGGUAGUCUUUUCGGAGCUGGAAAAUUAGAAUAGCACCCAAACUGAUUUUGGAAGAUAUAUUACGCUAAAGAGAUGGGUUUUCGGCAUGGAAACUGAUUCAGUGAGGGAGCUAGAAAUUAUAAACAAAUAAAUAAAGGCACAUAAAAAAGCAGAUGAGUGGGUUGUAAGGAUAAAGGAACUUUGGUAUACACUAUCCAAAUUGCUUGGAACCAAUCAUUGCUAUUAUAUAUUUGGAGACCUACCUGGUUUAAGUCCUGUUCUUCCACAUUUAAUAAAAUACUUUUGCUAUAUUGACAAAAAAAAAUAAUAAAUCCUUUGUAACACAAGGAGUUCAUUAGAACAAGAAAAUGAGCAAUCAAUGCAAAACGCAUUCCAUUUUUUGUAUGCAUAAUUUCAAAUCCAAAUUCCAUACAUCUAUUGAGAAAACUUGAAAUUUAAGAAGCAAAAUCAACCAAAUUCCAACCCGAGAAAGAAGAAGAAAAAUUCCCCAAUAUUUCUAACAUAGAUAGCCCAACAUUUCCAUUUAUAAUACCGAACAUGAGUAUCACAUUUUUACUGCUUAUAAUAGAAAGUUUUCGGAAUUCUCACCAAAUCUACGCGCUCCACCUUAACAUCAUAUGAGCAAAAAAAAAAAAACAACGGGAAAGAGAAUCAUUUACCUUAGAAAGGGUUGCCACAAUUGUAUCGAGGAUGUGCCUGGAUUGCCUCGCAUAAUACUCAUCAACAGUCAAUUUCCACCCAGGAUCAUUAUGCGAAUGAGGCACCACAAACACCUUCAACUUCUCAGUAUCCCAUUCAUUGCCUUUAUAGUUCACUCUCCACCCUUGCUUCCAUGGCCCGCCAUCCACAUCCAAGAAUUCGAUCUUAUCAUACAAACCCUUUGUAGUUAUAUCCACUACAGCCCCAGAAAUGGCAUCUUUGUUGUCGUUGUCUUUUUGGGGAUUUCGAUGUAUCGUCUUGCGAGGCUUGAAAAGGCGAAAAGUGGGUUUGGGUCUGGAUUUGAAGGGAGAUGAAAAAGGCUUAGGGAUGCCAAAGUGGAAGAUGGUGAUGAGAAGGAAGAUGAGAGAGAUCGAGAGAGCUAUAGUGAAGAAGUUAGUAAAUAAGAAAUUGAUAAGAGCCGUCCGCCUGCGAGACCUUCUUUGAGGAACCUUUGGUUUGGGGGAGGAGGAGGAGGAGGAGGAGGGGAGGAGUGAUUGAGCCCAGGUGGUGCCGGCUCCUCCACCUCCACCUCCACGGCGACCAAUGUAAGAGGAGAAAGGCAUGUUUGGUUAGUGGGGUGGUCUUGUUCUCCUCAGAUAUCGCUAAGGGUAGGCAUUGUUGAUUAAAGGGCGACGAGAUCUAAGCAGGAAGACAAACGAAAAAAAUAAAAAUAAGACUUUGAAUAUUUUGAGGGUAGAGUCCUGUAAGUCAAGCCUGGAAUUUUCAUCACAUCGAUUCACUCAGUAAUUGGACCACCUUCCCUGUUUUGCACCAUUUUCCUCUUCUAUGCCCUUUAAAAAAGAUCUUCCUAAGGCUACAAAGGUGGUGGUUUUAUUAUUAUUAUUAUUAAAGAUAACUAUCAAAUUAAGGGAGAUUUCGCAGGGAGGUUUCAUUUGACUCCAAGUUAUUAUCGAUUAAAAAAUAUUGAAUUUUAUUUUUAAAAUUAUUAUUAAAAUAUUAAAGCUAUUAUAUUUCCAUCUUAAUAUAAAAUCAUACUGAGAAUCAAACUUUGAAUUCUUUGAUUUGUAGAAAUUAUAUUUAAAAUUAAAUUUUAAUACGAUUUUAAAUAAUUUCGGUAUAUUUUUAAUAUAGAUUUGCCCUUUAUUUUAAUUUUUUAAUUUCAAUUUCAAUUCUAAAUCUUUAAUUUUUAUAAAUAAACUUUAGAUUUUGAUGAUCUGAGAUCC
rnacentral:lncRNA from 1 species